rnacentral:rRNA from 1 species
UGCAUAUCAAUAAGCGGAGGAAAUGAAACCAACAGGGAUUACCUUAGUAACGGCGAGUGAAGCGGUAAAAGCUCAAAUUUGAAAUCUGGUACUUUCAGUGCCCGAGUUGUAAUUUGUAGAAUUUGUCUUUGAUUAGGUCCUUGUCUAUGUUCCUUGGAACAGGACGUCAUAGAGGGUGAGAAUCCCGUUUGGCGAGGAUACCUUUUCUCUGUAAGACUUUUUCGAAGAGUCGAGUUGUUUGGGAAUGCAGCUCAAAGUGGGUGGUAAAUUCCAUCUAAAGCUAAAUAUUGGCGAGAGACCGAUAGCGAACAAGUACAGUGAUGGAAAGAUGAAAAGAACUUUGAAAAGAGAGUGAAAAAGUACGUGAAAUUGUUGAAAGGGAAGGGCAUUUGAUCAGACAUGGUGUUUUUUGCAUGCACUCGCCUCUCGUGGGCUUGGGCCUCUCAAAAAUUUCACUGGGCCAACAUCAAUUCUGGCAGCAGGAUAAAUCAUUAAGAAUGUAGCUACUUCGGUAGUGUUAUAGCUUUUUGGAAUACUGUUAGCCGGGAUUGAGGAC